AGUGAGAGGCAGGGCCUCGCCCUCAGGCUCCCCAGGGCCCUGGCCUGCUGUGCUGGUCAGGGCUGCACGCCUGGUCUCUGGGGGUGAGCACCCCGUUGCUUCUGCCCCCCUGCACUCUGGUGUGUCUCUUGGGGACACAGUCCUCCUCUCCCUCCUUCUCCUUCCCCUCUUCCUCCGCUCCUUGAAUUCAUUUUCCCUCUCGUUUUUUUUCUUAAAGCAUUGCCAUAUUUUUUAAAUAUUUAUUUAUUCAUUUAUUUGGUUGCGCUGGGUGUUAGUUACGGCAGGCAGGUUCCUUAAUUGCAGCUUGCGGGCUCCUUAGUUGUGGCACGAGAACUACUAGUUGCGGCAUGAAAGUGGGAUCUAGUUCCCUGAUCAGGGAUAGAACGCGGGCCCCCUGCAUUGGGAGCGUGGAGUCUUAUCCACUGUGCCAACGGGGACGUCCCUCCCUCUGCUUUUAUAACAUACUUCUUGGGCAUUAUCUCUGGUCACUCUCCCUUCCCUCUUUAGACGCCAGCCACACUGGCCUUUUUUCUCCGUUAACUUAUUACUGAAGUAUAACAGGUGCUACCCAAUCUGGGGUCCACAGACUGGUGACAUCUACAAGCCUGCUCGCCGCAGGUCUGCAAAAAUCAGGAGCUUGUAAAUCAGCUGUGACUCUGAGCACACUGGUUUCCUAGCAAGACCCCAGUGGAAACAGCAGCGCAUUGAUUUUUAUUCUGGUCAGAUUCCUGUCUCAUCGCAGGCCGGCAUCUUGAGGAGCACUGAUGCACCGUGCUUGUGGAAAAAUGCAGCACCUCCACCCUGGCUGUGACUUCUGAUUUAACGUCGUGUCUCUGUGCUGUUAUCCAUCAUAUGAUGUGGAGUCUUGUUGCAGUGUUUCUGAUGCCAUGGAAAGAGCACGAGACUAGGGGCCGGCACGUCCGGAUUCCAGUGCUACCUCCGUCUCACACAGUGUGGUGACCGCCAGCAAUUCUCUCUCCAAAUCUGCGCCUGAGCCCCCAUCUAUAACAUGAGGAUCAUUGCCGUUGCCUUUCUUUUGUUACAGGUUGUAGUGAAAAUAAACAAUAGAAUGUGUGUGCUGCUUUCACUAUUCCCGUAACUAGCGCUUCUCCUCCAGCCACUGCAUCCCCCGCCAGGCCCCUUGUGUACAAGUCAUAGAGCUCCGGCCUUCUCCCCAGGCCAUGUCUUUGCAGGCAUAGUUUCACCCUGUGCCUUUUCUCUAUGUUCUGUAAGAACCCCUGUACUUAGUCUUCCCAAUCACUCACUAGGUUUUUUUCCAUUCUGCUUUUCCUUGUUCUUUUCAUUUCCUCCACCAGGCUUUUCAUCUCUAUGAACUCCCUUUGUUCUUCCCCCGCCCCCGCCGUGCAGCAUGUGGGAUCUUAGUUCCCCCACUAGGGAUCGCACCUGGGCCUCAUGCAUCGGAAGCUCCAAGCCUUAACCACUGGACCGCCAGGGAAGUCCCUCCCUUUGUUCUUUAAUUGCUGACUUCUAGCAGACUUGCCACGUUUGCUCACAUUUACUAGAAGUGACCUAAUAGAUGCGGGAGAGCUCCACACAGGCCUCGCCCUCAGGCUUCCAUCCUUAGAGGCUUGUUUACUGAGAUGAGGGGUGAGAUGGAGCCAAAUGCAGGAUCAUCAGGACCACAUCGGAAAGCUGUCUCCCUUCCUUUGCGACAUCUUUGUCUGCUUUUGGUAUCAGGGUGAUGGUGGCCUCGUACAAUGAGUUUGGGAGUGUUCCUCCCUCUGCUAUAUUUUGGAAGAGUUUGAGAAAGGUAGGUGUUAGCUCUUCUCUAAAUGUUUGAUAGAAUUCGCCUGUGAAGCCAUCUGGUCCUGGGCUUUUGUGUGUUGGAAGAUUUUUAAUCACAGUUUCAAUUUCAGUGCUUGUGAUUGGUCUGUUUAUAUUUUCUAUUUCUUCCUUGUUCAGUCUCAGAAGGUUGUGCUUUUCUAAGAAUUUGUCCAUUUCUUCCAGGUUGUCCAUUUUACUGGCAUAGAGUUGCUUGUAGUAAUCUCUCAUGACCCUUUGUAUUUCUGCAGUGUCAGUUGUUACUUCUCCUUUUUCAUUUCUAAUUCUAUUGAUUUGAGUCUUCUCCCUUUUGUUCUUGAUAAGUCUGGCUAAUGGUUUAUCAAUUUUGUUUAUCUUCUCAAAGAACCAGCUUUUAGUUUUAUUGACCUUUGCUCUUAUUUGCUUCAUUUCUUUUUCAUUUAUUUCUGAUCUGAUCUUUAUGAUUUCUUUCCUUCUGCUAACUUUCGGGGGUUUUUGCCAAUAUCACUGAUGAACAUAGAUGCAAAAAUCCUCAACAAAAUACUAGCAAACAGAAUCCAACAGCACAUUAAAAGGAUCAUACACCAUGAUCAAGUGGGGUUUAUCCCAGGAAUGCAAGGAUUCUUCAAUAUGUGCAAAUCAAUCAAUGUGAUACACCAUAUUAACAAAUUGAAGGAGAAACACCAUAUGAUCAUCUAAAUAGAUGCAGAGAAAGCUUUCAAAAAAAUUCAACACCCAUUUAGGAUAAAAACCCUCCAGAAAGUAGGCAUAGAGGGAACUUGCCUCAACAUAAUAAAGGCCAUUUAUGACAAACCCACAGCCAACAUCAUCCACAAUGGUGAAAAACUGAAACCAUUUCCACUAAGAUCAGGAACAAGACAAGGUUGCCCACUCUCACCACUAUUAUUCAACAUAGUUUUGGAAGUUUUAGCCACAGCAAUAAGAGAAGAAAAAGAAAUAAAGGAAUCCAACUCGGAAAAGAAGAAGUAAAGCUGUCACUGUUUGCAGAUGACAUGUUACUAUACAUAGAGAAUCCUAAAGAUGCUACCAGAAAACUACUAGAUCUAAUCAAUUAAUUUGGUAAAGUAGCAGGGUACAAAACUGAUGAACAGAAAUCUCUGGCAUUCCUAUACACUAAUGAUGAAAAAUCUGAAAGUGAAAUUAAGAAAACACUCCCGUUUACCACUGCAACAAAAAGAAGAAAAUACGUAGGAAUAAACCUACCUAAGGAGACAAAAGACCCAUAUGCAGAAAAUGAUAAGACACUGAUGAAAGAAAUUAAAGAUGAUACAAAUAGAUGGAGAGAUAUACCAUGUUCUUGGAUUGGAAGAAUCAACAUUGUGAAAAUGACUCUACUACCCAAAGCAAUCUACAGAUUCACUGCAAUCCCUAUCAAACUACCGCUGGCAUUUUUCACAGAACUAGAACAAAAAAUCUCACACUUUGUAUGGAAACACAAAAGACCCUGAAUAGCCAAAACAAUCUUGAGAAAUAAAAACGGAGCUGGAGGAAUCAGACUCCCUGACUUCAGACUAUACUACAAAGCUACAGUAAUCAAGACAGUAUGGUACUGGCACAAAAACAGAAAUAUAGAUCAAUGGUACAGGAUAGAAAGCCCAGAUAUAAACCCACACACAUAUGGUCACCUUAUCUUUGAUAAAGGAGGCAAGAAUAUACAGUGGAGAAAAGACAGCCUCUUCAAUAAGUGGUGCUAAGAAAACUGGACAGCUUCCUGUAAAAGAAUGAAACUAGAACACUCCCUAACACCAUACACAAAAAUAAACUCAAAAUGGAUUAAAGACCUAAAUGUAAGGCCAGACACCAUCAAAGUCUUAGAGGAAACAUAGGCAGAACACUCCAUGACAUAAAUCACAGCAAGAUCCUUUUUGACCCACCUCCUAGAGAAAUGGAAAUAAAAACAAAAAUAAACAAAUGGGACCUAAUGAAACUUAAAAGCUUUUGCACAGCAAAGGAAACCAUAAACAAGAUGAAAAGACAACCCUCAGAAUGGGAGAAAAUGUUUGCAAAUGAAACAAAUGACAAAGGAUUAAUCUCCAAAAUUUACAAGCAGCUCAUGCAGCUCAAUAUCAAAAAAAUAAACAACACAAUCCAAUAAUGGGCUGAAGACCUAAAUAGACAUUUCUCCAAAGAAGAUAUACAGAUUGCCAACAAACACAUGAAAGGAUGCUCAACAUCACUAAUCAUUAGAAAAAUGCAAAUCAAAACUACAAUGAGAUAUAAUCUCACACCAGUCAGAAUGGCCAUCAUCAAAAAAUCUACAAACAAUAAAUGUGGAGAAAAGGGAACCCUUUUGCACUUUUGGUGGGAAUGUAGAUUGAUACAGCCACUAUGGAGAACAGUAUGGAGGUUCCUUAAGAAACUAAGAGUAGGGGCUUCCCUGGUGGUGCAGUGGUUGAGAGUCCGCCUGCCAAUGCAGGGGACACGGGUUCGUGCCCCGGUCCAGGAAGAUCCCACAUGCCACAGAGCAGCUGGCCCCGUGAUCCAUGGCCGCAGAGCCUGCACAUCCGGAGCCUGUGCUCUGCAACGGGAGAGGCCACAACAGUGAGAGGCCCGAGUACCGCAAAGAAAACAAAACAAACAAACAAAAAAACCUAACGGUAGAACUACCAUACAACCCAGCAAUCCCACUACUGGCCAUAUACCCUGAGAAAACCAUCAUUCAAAAAGAGUCAUGUACCACAAUGUUCAUUGCAGCUCUAUUUACAAUAGCCAGGACAUGGAAACAACCUAAGUGUCCAUCAUCAGAUGAAUGGAUAAAGGAGAUGUGGCACAUAUAUAAAUGGAAUAUUAGCCAUAAAAAGAAACAAAAUUGAGCUAUUUGUAGUGAGGUGGAUGGACCUAGAGUCUGUCAUACAGAGUGAAGUAAGUCAGAAGAGAAAAACAAAUACCAUAUGCUAACACAUGUAUAUGGAAUCUAAGAAAAAAAAAUGGUCAUGAAGAACCUAUGGGCAAGAUGGGGAUAAAGAUGCAGACCUACUAGAGAAUGGACUUGAGGAUAUGGGGAGGGGAAAGGGUAAGCUGGGACAAAGUGAGAGAGUGGCAUGGACAUAUAUAAACUACCAAACAUAAAAUAGAUAGCUAGUGGGAAGCAGCUGCAUAGCACAGGGAGAUCAGCUCGGUGCUUUGUGACCACCUAGAGGGGUGGGAUAGGGAGGGUGGGAGGGAGGGAGACGCAAGAGCGAAGAGAUAUGGGAACAUAUGUAUAUGUAUAACUGAUUCACUUUGUUAUAAAGCAGAAACUAACACACCAUUGUAAAGCAAUUAUACUCCAAUAAAGAUGUUUAAAAAAAAAAUCCAAAAAAAAAGAAGCAGCUCCUGUGGUCUGUCUCUAAUGAAUUCACCCACAACGAGGCUGCGGGGAGGGGAAGCAGGAAUUGCUGAUGUUUGUGUUAACCCUUUUACAAUUCCUUCUCCUGAAUCAGAACCCCAGAUCCCUACUCAGGGGCUGUGAGUUGCCAAAUCCCUCCAUAGGCAAUGUGCAAACUAGUCUAGAGCUCUCCAGGGUUUUCUUUUACUCAUAGAGGAAGAAGCAGGGGAACGAUCAAACGAUGAAGACUUACACUAUCCCUUCAGUGAUAACUGCCUCACUCACCCCCAUCUUGGUUGGAAUCAGGCAAUAAAAUCAUAGACAGAGAAAUUUUCUCCAGCUACGUGAAUGCAAAGAAAUAUUUUGGGUAGGCAACUCCCAUCAGCACAGAGGGAUAAACAGGAUGCUUAUGGAAUAAAGGACCUUUAGGUGAUAGUCAAUGAAUUUGUGAAUUUAAACACAUUCACUGAAGAAGCACAGUAUGUUUUAUUAAAUUAUUUUAUUUGAUGUAGUGUUG